GCCGAUGUGGCGAAAUGGUAGACGCGGUAGAUUCAAAAUCUACUUCUGCUUGCGCAGAGUGCUGGUUCGAGUCCGGUCAUCGGCA
rnacentral:tRNA from 1 species